rfam:Gloeomargarita lithophora Alchichica-D10 chromosome.
GCCGUAGUAGCUCAGGGGAUAGAGCAACCGCCUUCUAAGCGGUCGGUCAUAGGUUCAAAUCCUAUCUACGGCG